rnacentral:rRNA from 1 species
GUGAGUCAUCGAAUCUUUGAACGCACAUUGCACUCUCUGGUAUUCCGGAGAGUAUGCUUGUUUGAGUAUCUGUAAACAUCUCAAACCUCUUGACGCUUGCGUCAGUGAGGAUUGGAUAUGAGCGAUCCCGACUCCUUCGUCAGAAAGAGGAGGGUCGCUUGAAAUGCAGAUUGCAGCAGGACAUUCUUCUGAGCUAAAAGCAUAUUUUAUUUAGUCCCGUCAAAAGGAUUAUUACUUUUGCUUCAGCUAACAUAAAGGUUCGAAUUGCGCCACUAUCGCUGAUUGCAGGAAAACUUCGUUUGUAACAUGAACUUGUAAACUCGAUCUCAAAUCAAGUAAGACUACCCGCUGAACUUAAGCAUUAUCAAUAAGCGGAGG